rnacentral:rRNA from 1 species
ACAUAGCCCGGAGAUGGAUUCUGAGACACGAAUCCAGACCCUACGGGGUGCAGCAGGCGCGAAAACUUGGCAAUGCGAGAAAUCGUGACCAGGGAACUCCAAGUGGCUGGGGUAAGACCCAGUCUUUUCUUGACUCUUCAAAGGUCUUGGAAUAAGAGGUGGGUAAGGACGGUGCCAGCCGCCGCGGUAAUACCGGCGCCUCAAGUGGUAGUCGAUUUUAUUGGGCCUAAAACGUCCGUAGCCUGUUUGGUACAUUCGUGGGUAAAUCAACCAGCUUAACUGGUUGAAUUCUGCGAGCACGGCCAGACUUGGGACCGGGAGAGGUGUGGGGUACGCUCAGGGUAGGGGUAAAAUCCUGUCAUCCUGAGCGGACCACCUGUUGCGAAGGCGCCACACUAGAACGGAUCCGACGGUCAGGGACGAAGCCUAGGGGCACGAACCGGAUUAGAUACCCGGGUAGUCCUAGGUGUAAACGCUGUGGACUUGGUGUUGGGGAUUCUCCGAGGAUUUUCAGUGCCGAAGCGAAGGUGAUAAGUCCACUGCCUGGGGAGUACGGUCGCAAGGCUGAAACUUAAAGGAAUUGGCGGGGGAGCACCGCAACCUGAGGAUUGUGCGGUUUAAUUGGACUCAACGCCGGGA